CGGGGUGAGUAACGCGUGGGUAACCUGCCUUAUACAGGGGGAUAACAGUCAGAAAUGGCUGCUAAUACCGCAUAAGCGCACAGAGCUGCAUGGCUCAGUGUGAAAAACUCCGGUGGUAUAAGAUGGACCCGCGUUGGAUUAGCUGGUUGGUGGGGUAACGGCCCACCAAGGCGACGAUCCAUAGCCGGCCUGAGAGGGUGAACGGCCACAUUGGGACUGAGACACGGCCCAGACUCCUACGGGAGGCAGCAUG
rnacentral:rRNA from 1 species